GACGAACGCUGGCGGCGUGCUUAACACAUGCAAGUCGAACGAGACGGAUUGGGAGCUUGCUCCUGACAAGUCGAGUGGCAAACGGGUGAGUAACGCGUAGACAACCUGCCGCAAAGAUGGGGACAACAGCCCGAAAGGGCUGCUAAUACCGAAUGUUGCGCCCCUCCCGCAUGGGAGGGGCGCCAAAGAUGGCCUCUGCCUGCAAGCCAUCGCUUUGCGAUGGGUCUGCGCCUGAUUAGCCAGUUGGCGGGGCAACGGCCCACCAAGGCGACGAUCAGUAGCCGGUCUGAGAGGAUGGACGGCCACAUUGGGACUGAGACACGGCCCAGACUCCUACGGGAGGCAGCAGUGGGGAAUCUUCCGCAAUGGGCGAAAGUCUGACGGAGCAACGCCGCGUGGGUGAAGAAGGUCUUCGGAUCGUAAAGCCCUGUUGCCCGGGACGAACGCCCCCGGCGCGAACAGCGCCGGGGGGGACGGUACC
rnacentral:rRNA from 1 species